UACGAAGGGGGCUAGCGUUGCUCGGAAUCACUGGGCGUAAAGGGCGCGUAGGCGGUUUUUUAAGUCAGGGGUGAAAUCCUGGAGCUCAACUCCAGAACUGCCUUUGAUACUGGGGAUCUUGAGUUCGGGAGAGGUGAGUGGAACUGCGAGUGUAGAGGUGAAAUUCGUAGAUAUUCGCAAGAACACCAGUGGCGAAGGCGGCUCACUGGCCCGAUACUGACGCUGAGGCACGAAAGCGUGGGGAGCAAACAGG
rnacentral:rRNA from 1 species